AGCGAACGCUGGCGGCAGGCCUAACACAAGCAGGUCGAACGAAGUCUUCGGACUUAGUGGCGGACGGGUGAGUAACACGUGGGCACGUGCCUUUAGGUUCGGAAUAACUCAGGGAAACUUGUGCUAAUACCGAAUGUGCCCUUCGGGGGAAAGAUUUAUCGCCUUUAGAGCGGCCCGCGUCUGAUUAGCUAGUUGGUGAGGUAAAGGCUCACCAAGGCGACGAUCAGUAGCUGAUCUGAGAGGAUGAUCAGCCACAUUGGGACUGAGACACGGCCCAAACUCCUACGGGAGGCAGCAGUGGGGAAUCGUGCGCAAUGGGCGAAAGCCUGACGCAGCCAUGCCGCGUGAAUGAUGAAGGUCUUAGGAUUGUAAAAUUCUUUCACCGGGGACGAUAAUGACGGUACCCAGAGAAGAAGCCCCGGCUAACUUCGUGCCAGCCGCCGCAGUAA
rnacentral:rRNA from 1 species